rnacentral:rRNA from 1 species
AUUGAACGCUGGCGGCAGGCUUAACACAUGCAAGUCGAGCGGAGAUGAGGUGCUUGCACCUUAUCUUAGCGGCGGACGGGUGAGUAAUGCUUAGGAAUCUGCCUAUUAGUGGGGGACAACAUUCCGAAAGGAAUGCUAAUACCGCAUACGUCCUACGGGAGAAAGCAGGGGAUCUUCGGACCUUGCGCUAAUAGAUGAGCCUAAGUCGGAUUAGCUAGUUGGUGGGGUAAAGGCCUACCAAGGCGACGAUCUGUAGCGGGUCUGAGAGGAUGAUCCGCCACACUGGGACUGAGACACGGCCCAGACUCCUACGGGAGGCAGCAGUGGGGAAUAUUGGACAAUGGGGGGAACCCUGAUCCGGCCAUGCCGCGUGUGUGAAGAAGGCCUUAUGGUUGUAAAGCACUUUAAGCGAGGAGGAGGCUACUGAGACUAAUACUCUUGGAUAGUGGACGUUACUCGCAGAAUAAGCACCGGCUAACUCUGUGCCAGCAGCCGCCGCUGUAA